GGCAUGCGGCUGCUAUACAUGCAGUCGUACGCUUCUUUUUCCACCGGAGCUUGCUCCACCGGAAAAAGAGGAGUGGCGAACGGGUGAGUAACACGUGGGUAACCUGCCCAUCAGAAGGGGAUAACACUUGGAAACAGGUGCUAAUACCGUAUAACAAUCGAAACCGCAUGGUUUUGAUUUGAAAGGCGCUUUCGGGUGUCGCUGAUGGAUGGACCCGCGGUGCAUUAGCUAGUUGGUGAGGUAACGGCUCACCAAGGCCACGAUGCAUAGCCAACCUGAGAGGGUGAUCGGCCACAUUGGGACUGAGACACGGCCCAAACUCCUACGGGAGGCAGCAGUAGGGAAUCUUCGGCAAUGGACGAAAGUCUGACCGAGCAACGCCGCGUGAGUGAAGAAGGUUUUCGGAUCGUAAAACUCUGUUGUUAGAGAAGAACAAGGAUGAGAGUAACUGUUCAUCCCUUGACGGUAUCUAACCAGAAAGCCACGGCUAACUACGUGCCAGCAGCCGCGGUAAUACGUAGGUGGCAAGCGUUGUCCGGAUUUAUUGGGCGUAAAGCGAGCGCAGGCGGUUUCUUAAGUCUGAUGUGAAAGCCCCCGGCUCAACCGGGGAGGGUCAUUGGAAACUGGGAGACUUGAGUGCAGAAGAGGAGAGUGGAAUUCCAUGUGUAGCGGUGAAAUGCGUAGAUAUAUGGAGGAACACCAGUGGCGAAGGCGGCUCUCUGGUCUGUAACUGACGCUGAGGCUCGAAAGCGUGGGGAGCAAACAGGAUUAGAUACCCUGGUAGUCCACGCCGUAAACGAUGAGUGCUAAGUGGUUGGAAGGGUUUCCGCCCCUUCAGUGCUGCAGCUAACGCAUUAAGCACUCCGCCUGGGGGAGUACGACCGCAAGGUUGAAACUCAAAGGAAUUGACGGGGGCCCGCACAAGCGGUGGAAGCAUGUGGUUUAAUUCGAAGCAACGCGAAGAACCUUACCAGGUCUUGACAUCCUUUGACCACUCUUGAGAUAGAGCUUCCCCUUCGGGGGCAAAAUGACAAGUGGUUGCAGGGUUGUCCUCACCUCCUGUCCUGAGAAAUUUGGGUUAAUUCCCCCCACCAACGCCACCCCUUAUUGUUAUUUGCCUCCAAUUCAUUUGGGGACCCUCCCAAAAAAGCCCGUGACAAACCGAAGAAAGGGGGGG
rnacentral:rRNA from 1 species